rnacentral:lncRNA from 1 species
AAUGGCCUCAUUCUUAUGGGUGACCUACCCAGAAAAAAAAAAUGGAGAAUGGUCUCAUUUUUAUGGGUGACCUACCCAGAAAAAUAUGGUCUCAUUGUGAUGGGUGACCUACCCAAGUGGCAAGAAUAUGAAAAAGUGGUCUCGUUGUGAUGGGUGACCUACCUAGAAAAAUGUUGACAAUGGCUCAAAGGCGCACUUGAAAGGAGGUAGGGUUAGAAAACGCACUACCCGAGAUGUGAAGGUUCAAUGGCGCACUCAAACGGAAGUGAGGGCUCAAGGCGUACUUGAAAUGAGGUAGGGUUUAUAAAACACACUACCCAAGAAGUGAGGGCUCAAACAGCGCACUCGAAAAGAGGUAGGGUUAGAAAAC